rnacentral:rRNA from 1 species
UAGCGGCGGACGGGUGAGUAAUGCUUAGGAAUCUGCCUAUUAGUGGGGGACAACAUCUCGAAAGGGAUGCUAAUACCGCAUACGUCCUACGGGAGAAAGCAGGGGACCUUCGGGCCUUGCGCUAAUAGAUGAGCCUAAGUCGGAUUAGCUAGUUGGUGGGGUAAAGGCCUACCAAGGCGACGAUCUGUAGCGGGUCUGAGAGGAUGAUCCGCCACACUGGGACUGAGACACGGCCCAGACUCCUACGGGAGGCAGCAGUGGGGAAUAUUGGACAAUGGGGGGAACCCUGAUCCAGCCAUGCCGCGUGUGUGAAGAAGGCCUUUUGGUUGUAAAGCACUUUAAGCGAGGAGGAGGCUACCGAGAUUAAUACUCUUGGAUAGUGGACGUUACUCGCAGAAUAAGCACCGGCUAACUCUGUGCCAGCAGCCGCGGUAAUACAGAGGGUGCAAGCGUUAAUCGGAUUUACUGGGCGUAAAGCGCGCGUAGGUGGCCAAUUAAGUCAAAUGUGAAAUCCCCGAGCUUAACUUGGGAAUUGCAUUCGAUACUGGUUGGCUAGAGUAUGGGAGAGGAUGGUAGAAUUCCAGGUGUAGCGGUGAAAUGCGUAGAGAUCUGGAGGAAUACCGAUGGCGAAGGCAGCCAUCUGGCCUAAUACUGACACUGAGGUGCGAAAGCAUGGGGAGCAAACAGGAUUAGAUACCCUGGUAGUCCAUGCCGUAAACGAUGUCUACUAGCCGUUGGGGUCUUUGAGGCUUUAGUGGCGCAGCUAACGCGAUAAGUAGACCGCCUGGGG